UACGGGGGGGGCAAGCGUUGUUCGGAAUUACUGGGCGUAAAGGGUUCGUAGGUGGCCAACUAAGUCAUACGUGAAAUCCCUCAGCUUAACUGGGGAACUGCGUCUGAUACUGGUUGGCUUGAGUGCAGGAGAGGAACGCGGAAUUCCAGGUGUAGCGGUGAAAUGCGUAGAUAUCAGGAGGAACACCGGUGGCGAAGGCGGGUCUCUGGGCAGUAACUGACGCUGGGGAGCGAAAGCGUGGGUAGCAAACAGG
rnacentral:rRNA from 1 species